rnacentral:sRNA from 1 species
AGGCACUUGAGGGGAGUGUAAGUAGCGCAGCUAGUAUAGGGAUAGAGCAGAGAGAGAGACGACAGGUCAGUCUAGCGCUGUACUAGCUGCGAACGCGAGAUAUUCGGUUUUAAAAAUCGGAGAGGCUUGUAUGACAUGGCGCCGCCUAUAACAUACAGACAACAUGUGCUCGGCCUUCGUGCUUAAUCCACUCAACACCUGUGCACCUUAUCGAAGUUAGUAGUCUUUCCUCCUUAGUUGGAGCCGCCGGGGUUGACUUUGUUAGUAGUGUUUCGACGCGAAAGCAUAUGGUCGGCCUUGGCUGGGAUUGACGAACACUUUGACUUCAUCAUACACACUUUAAUUGUCUUGUAGAAUGUAAUGCUCCUUGUGGGCGAAAUGAAAUACAACUUUCAACAACGGAGCUCUUGGCUCUCGCAUCGAUGAAGAACGCAGCGAAAUGCGAUAAGUAAUGUGAAUUGCAGAAUUCAGUGAAUCAUCGAAUCUUUGAACGCACCUUGCGCCCCUUGGUAUUCCGAGGGGCAUGCCUGUUUGAGUGUCAUGUUAACAUCAAACCCCUUGCUUGUAAAGGCUCGGGGCUUGGAUUUGGAGGUUUGUGCCGGCCUGCUUCAUUGUCAGUUGUCGGCUCCUCUUAAAUGCAUUAGCUGGACAUUGGUCUGCGUGUCAGGUGUGAUAGUUUUAUUCAACCAAUCGCCUUUCCCUAAAUGGGUCUGCCUUCCUAAUGGGUCUUCGGACAAGGUUGUUUUAACCAGCCCUUCUUUGAACUUCAUUUGAACCCUCUAAAUCCCAGGGGUAGGAAACUCUAACCCCAGCACACUUGAA